UGGGGAAUUUUGGACAAUGGGGGAAACCCUGAUCCAGCCAUCCCGCGUGUGCGAUGAAGGCCUUCGGGUUGUAAUGCACUUUUAGCAGGAAAGAAACGUCAUGGGUUAAUACCCCGUGAAACUGACGGUACCUGCAGAAUAAGCACCGGCUAACUACGUGCCAGCAGCCGCGGUAAUACGUAGGGUGCAAGCGUUAAUCGGAAUUACUGGGCGUAAAGCGUGCGCAGGCGGUUCGGAAAGAAAGAUGUGAAAUCCCAGAGCUCAACUUUGGAACUGCAUUUUUAACUGCCGGGCUAGAGUGUGUCAGAGGGAGGUGGAAGUCCGCGUGUAGCAGUGAAAUGCGUAGAUAUGCGGAGGAACACCGAUGGCGAAGGCAGCCUCCUGGGAUAAAACUGACGCUCAUGCACGAAAGCGUGGGGAGCAAACAGG
rnacentral:rRNA from 1 species